rfam:Schistosoma mansoni strain Puerto Rico chromosome 1, complete genome
ACUGCUGAGGAGUCCCACAAUAGGACGAAACGGCCGUCCAGU